rnacentral:rRNA from 1 species
AGUGAACGCUGGCGGUAGGCCUAACACAUGCAAGUCGAACGGCAGCACAGUAAGAGCUUGCUCUUACGGGUGGCGAGUGGCGGACGGGUGAGGAAUACAUCGGAAUCUACUUUUUCGUGGGGGAUAACGUAGGGAAACUUACGCUAAUACCGCAUACGACCUACGGUUGAAAGCAGGGGAUCUUCGGACCUUGCGCGAUUGAAUGAGCCGAUGUCGGAUUAGCUAGUUGGCGGGGUAAAGGCCCACCAAGUCGACGAUCCGUAGCUGGUCUGAGAGGAUGAUCAGACACACUGGAACAGAGACACGAACCAGACUCCUACGGGAGGCAGCAGUGGCGAUUAUUGGACUAUGGGCGCAAGCCUGAUCCAGCCAAACCGCGUGAGUGAAGAAGGCCUUCGGGUUGUAAAGCCCUUUUGUUGGGAAAGAAAAGCAGCAGGUUAAUACCCCGCUGUUCUGACGGUACCCAAAGAAUAAGCACCGGCUAACUUCGUG